AUGGCUAGAUCCCAGAAAGUUUGAUCAGGUCAGAACUGCUUCUCUCCCUAGUAAUGCACUUCAAAACCUCAGCACAUGUCUCCUCAAAUUUGAUAGCAGGGCAACUGUAAAUAACCUCCAGUCAGAACUGAAAAGUUUUGCUGGACAGUGGGACAGGCUUAAGGCAUCUCAUGUGGAUGAGUACAAGACCAGAACAGCAGAGGAUGGAUCUGCAGAAUGGGAACAAGAAAGUGAGAUUGUGACCAAAAGCUGUGAUUCGUGCAAAAAUUGCCCACUGUGCUGCUAUCAACUUCUCAGACGGUUCAACAUGCUCUCAGAUGUUUAUCGUCUCCUUGGGCUUGCAUACAAGUACCUGCUGACCCUCUCUCUGACUCAGGUAGCCUGUGAAAGAACAUUCUCAACACUCAAAUUUAUUAAAAGCAGACUCAGAAGCAGCCUGUCCGCGAACAGGCUACAGAUGUUUAUGCUCAUGGCCACUGAAAAGGACAUUCUCAUGUCAUUGGACUCCGACAUGGUCAUUGAUCGGGUAGCUGAGAAGAGUGAGCUGUUGAGAAAGUUGCUUUUGUAGCUUGAUGAGGGAAAAAAAAUGAUCAAAACACUCAUUAUAAGGAUGCUGUCACUCAUUUUUGGAAGCCUGCUGUGGUUUCCUCAAAGGUUCCAUGUUUGAGGAAAUAUUAUGUGCUGCUGACCUGAGUUUUGCUGCUACUGGAUGUCAAUGCUGACUUUAUUAAUAUGGUUUAUUAAUAUGGAUCCAAGAAUAUGUUGUUCAUUUGUUCAGGAGAUUGAGUACACCAUGCAUCCUUUUGGUUCUCUCCAAGUACUGUAAGUACUGCAUGGAACUGAUUAUUCAACUAUUUCUCUGGAGUACAUAGACCAGUACUGUGAUCACCUGAGUAAGUCCAUCAAGUGUUAUUCUUUCUCACCUUUUUCUGUCUGUCUCCUAUCACUUUUUGAAGGGUUCCAUGUUGGAGGAAAUAUUCUUUGCUACUCUGCUGUUUGUGUGGAAUAAAUAAUCUCUAAAAAUA